rnacentral:lncRNA from 1 species
ACCUAAUGACAUAUCUGGAAACUUUGACAGUGAGAAAGUUGAUCAAGAUGAGGUUUUUUACUAUAAAGAUAUAUUACAUUUCUUCUUCGAGUGAGCCAAAUGUGACACAUACCAAAAAUCAUAUUACUUGUUAACAAAACAAGAGAUUACAUUAAUAGUUUGAGUAAGACAACGAAGUACGAAUACGAAGGCAUACUUGACAAUUUUUGCCGUCUGCACAUUAUCUUGUGCAUACUGUGUUGGACGUCACUGGUGGUUGCUCAACGUGUCUUCCCAUGUGUCGCUGUUUAUGAAUACGGACCAUUUGAUUCUUGCCCUGACCCAGAAAAAAACAGCGAGACAUGAAACUAUAUCUCGUCUUUGUCCUUAUGCCUUCGUGCAGAACGAAGUUCACAACGAAGUUUUCCAAAAUAUUCGUUGUGAACGAAGGCAGAAGAACGAAGACGGGAUAUGGAUUCAUGUCUCGCUGUUUUAUCCUGAUCAGGGUAAGGAUAUGGGUCAGCAUUCAUAAACAGCUAGACAUGAAUCUCUAAUCACUCUUGACCCUAAACUCAGAAUGUGCAAGGUGUAAUGUUCAAGACAGGCAAAAAUUGUCAACCACGUCGUCGUCGUCCGACUUCGUUCUCUUGCUCAAACUCUCUAUUACCAAAAGUGGCAGGAACACCGCAACAACUAGCAUAAGCCAAUUACACCCGGUCCAAACAACAUGAUUAUAUACUCUUGUUUCUGGUGUUGAGCACCACAGUCAAGCAAACUUUUCAGUUUGCUUGUUGUGGACAUAUUCAGAGCAACGUCACAAACAUAUGAUUAUAUAUGGUAUAUAGAACUUGGGCUAUACGUAAAUACGUUUGUUACACAAUCGUUCACAUGGUUAUAUAUGCAUUAACUGAUAAAACUUCUAAUAAGUUCCUUGUAGGUUGAUUAUAUAUCACUAUGGUUAUAUACUGCAUGAUUAUAUAAUGCAUGAAACUAGUAAAACUUGGGGUAUAUACCAAAGUUUGUUGCGAUCAUAAUUCCGUCGAAAUUCAGCUCAGUUUAACGAAUUCCUGCACUGAUAAGUCGAUUUGGCCUUAUUUGAUGACCUGGCUCAUUGAAAGCAACACCAGUGUAACGUUUCGACGUUGCAGAGGUACGGAAGUAGGGAGAACCUCCAUCAUGGCACCAUGAAUCACAUGAUUUAUAGCAGUUGGUAUACCCGGAGAUAAAGAGGCCUUUAUAGAAAGAUGUAUCACAUAUCAACAGUUAAUAUUUGUAUUGUGUUGAGGCCACACCCUUCGCUGUCCACAAGCCAUAUACAGCUGCCCACUUAUUAUAAUUACCAGCAAAUGUAAUAGCCGUCCCAUUCAUUGUGAAAGCAGCUUUUUGUUUCGAUUUCACAUGGACGAACAUCACACUUGUAAACUAAAAAAAUUCAUAUUGGGAGUACAUUACAUUCUAGCUAUUUUACUACACGUUCUCAGUUGCAUAUUGAAAGCAAUAAGGAAUGUUUCUUACAUCAAGCCAAUUUUGUAGUUCUUUGAAACCUGAGGAAAACCUGGGAGGGAGUAACCUUUAAUCGAUGACAAAAAAAUAUACCAAAUCUGUGUCUUUCAGCUUAUCAUAAAACGUGUCUAAAAUGCAUGGAAUAGCGUUUCGCAGACCCUAACAUUCCGAAGGACCACGCCCCUGGACGAUUAGACACCCCACACACACACGCACGCACGCACACGCACACACACUCGUUUGGGGCUGACUACGCCUCCUGCCUCUAGAGUGAGCAACUCAGAACAGACCACUGUCUAGAAGAUGGCGCUGGUUUUAGUUGUAAGAAUAUUACUGUAUAUAAUCGUACAGUACAGUCCUAAAAGUGCUAAACAGUACAGGUAUCAGACCAGUGUUUUAGUGGUGAUGAAAUGAUAAUUAGAUGGGUUCAUUAUAAAAUCAGAUGCUGUUAGAGCUUACAACAAAUAUAAAAGUCUAAAUUAUAUCUAGUAUUAAAUAUUUAUUCAUGAAGUACUUUGAAUGAACCAUUUGCAUUAUAGACUAAAUUUUGAUCUAAACAAGUCUAUCCAAAAAUUUCAUCACAGUUUGAACGAGCAUCACAAAAUUAGUAAUAUUCCAAAGUUUCGUUGCGAAAUGUUUUAAAAUGCGAAGUUUGAUUUUGAUGAAUUACUGGAUUGUUUAUAGACGUGUAUUAACAAUAUCUGUCACUAUAUUUUUCUACCGUGAAAUUUUGAAAGGUGAAAUUUUGUCAAUAAAUUGACAUUCAUCAAUAGUUGCUGUAUAUGCUUAUUAAGUGUGACUCAAUAAUAUUAUUGGCUGCACCAUUGCUUUGAAAUCGAGUGAUUAUCGUUGUAGCCAUUAGUUGGCAUUGUAAGAAAGAUACUGCAACUGUUUUAUAUUG